rnacentral:lncRNA from 1 species
GUUGGAGAGUAGUAAAAACAAAUAGAAUUACCUGGAAUUGGUCAUUUUCCCAUAAUGAAUCUAAAAUAAAAAAAUGAUAUACUCUAAAAUAAGAAUAAGAUGUAAAUUCAUAAGAUGAUAAUCUUUUAUUGAGCCGUUACAUUUUGCUAAACAAUGUUGUAAAUACUCCUUCCAAAAAACUCUGAAAAAAUAUAAUCGUCUCCUUUUCCAUCAGGAAGCUGAGGCCUAGACCAUUUAAAGAAGUUGCCUGAAGGCAGCCCCUGAAGGCGCAGCGGUUUAGCUCCACCUGCAGCCCAGGGUGUGAUCCUGGAGACCAGGGAUCGAGUCCCACGGCGGGCUCUCUGUAUGAUGCCUGCUUCUCCCUCUGCCUGUGUCUCUGCCUCUCUCUCUGUCUCUAUGAAUAAAUUAAAAAAAAAAAAGAAGUUGCCUGAGAUAUCACAACUAAUAAAUGGCACAAGUGGAACUGAAUUCCAGAAGCACCUAACUCCAAAACCUGUACUCUUAACCACUAUUAAAAAAAAUACUUCAGACUUGGGCAAAGUAUGACAUUGGGUAUGGGAUGAAAAUACUGUCCUAAGUGAGAAGGCACUUGUUUUCCUUCAGGAUAUUUGCAGUAUCUAUUCAAAGACAGGACGUAAUAAUGUGUAUUGAUAACACACUGUAAUAUGUAUUACAAGAUAAAGAAGAUGUUGACAGAGGCCCACAGGGAGUUGGAAAUACUUCCUCACUGAGGAAGAGAGGGAUGCUCAAUAGAAAAAGUGCCACUGGAGUUCUUACUCAAAUAUAUGAGAGUGCUAAGGACAGAAAUUUGGAAUAACAGAAGGUACAUAUGACCUCUCACACACCCAAGAGCCUGCAAUCUGCAUUUCCAAGAGACCACUGCAGAGAUUUCCACAGCACCUCUGCUUGUCUAAUGACAUGGGCACAAGAUUCCACCCUUAUUUCACAUUCAGCCAAUGCAGCUCUGCACAUGGAAAGAUCUUCAGAGACAGAAUUGCUUCUUGUCUACUACCACCAUCACUUCCAGAUGUAAAUUGGUAUAUGGCCAACUCCCUGAAGAGUCACCUUGACCCUGCCCUGAGUCCACUGUAACAGAAGAAUCCACCAUUCUACUCAACCCUGCCUCAAGCCAUUUCUAGAUAAACAUUGUAUGUGUCUGUCUGUAACGUCAGGAAAGCAAAGAAAGGUGAUCUGGUAUGAAUAGAGCAAAUUUUCACAGCCCGCCCUCCUUCCCCCCAUAAGCCUGCAUAGAAUCAACAAAUCCAAGGCAGACCAGGAAGAGAAAAG